AAAUCGUUCGUCUGACAUGAGUAUAGGGGCGAAAGACUAAUCGAACCAUCUAGUAGCUGGUUCCCUCCGAAGUUUCCCCCAGGAUAGCUGAAAUUCGUCGUGAGUUUUAUCAGGUAAAGCGAAUGAUUAGGGGAUUCGGGGCUGAAACAGCCUCGACCCAUUCUCAAACUUUAAAUGGGUAAGAAGCGCGUGUUGCUUAAUUGAACAUGCGCAUCGAAUCAGGGUUCUUAGUGGGCCAUUUUUGGUAAGCAGAACUGGCGAUGUGGGAUGCUCCAGACGCGUUGGUUAAGGGGCCAAAGUACUCGCUCAUUCCGAUACCACAAAGGGUGUUGGUUGAUGAAGACAGCAGGACGGUGGUCAUGGAAGUCGAAAUCCGCUAAGGAGUGUGUAACAACUCACCUGCCGAAUCAACUAGCCCCGAAAAUGGAUGGCGCUCAAGCGAGUCCCCGAAACCGGGCCAUUGGGGUAGAUGCGACGCCCCAAUGAGUAGGAGGGCGCGUCGGUGGCAACGAAGGCGCGGGCGCAAGCCCCGCUUUGAGCCGCCGAUGGUGCAGAUCUUGGUGUUAGUAGCAAAUAUUCAAAUGAAAAUUUUGAAGACUGAAGUGGAGAAAGGUUUCGCGUCAACAUUAUUUGGACGUGAGUGACUCGGUCCUAAGGUAUUCCGUAUGGGAUUCAGAAGGCGCGAUUCUUCGCGCCGUCGGCCAAAAGGGCAAUUGGUUAAAAUUCCGAUAGCCGGACACGGUGCUGAGCGGUGACGCGUUUCUAACCUGGCAACGGUCGCCCGAACCCCGGGAAGAGUUAUCUUUUCUUUUUGACAACGAGCAUGCGUCUGAAACGGGAUUGUCUCUAGAUAGACGGAUGCUCGUGGCAGAGCGGCUGACUUCCUCAGCUGUCCGGUGCGUUCGGGAAGCCCCUUGAAAAGCCAGGGGCGUGUUUUGCACUCGGUCCGGGCCGUACUCAUAACCGCAUCAGGUCUCCAAGGUUAAAAGCCUCUGGUCAAUAGAAUAAUGUAGGUAAGGGAAGUCGGCAAAUUGGUUCCGUAAGUUCGCGAUGUGGGAUGGCUCGUCAGACUGGAUGGAAGAGGCUCGGUCCGCGAAGGUGGCUAGCCUACAGGACUGGCUAGGUUCCCCUCGGGGGGCCCGGCCGGGCUUGUUCGGUAGGCUGCUGGAGGGGUCGAGACAGUGCCGGGGCCUUUUGGACCCGGUUACAUUCUCGCCAUAACAAGCAGUUAAUGAUGAACUCGUAGUGACCACAGGAACCCGACUGUUUAAUUAAAACAAAGCAUUGCGAUGGUCGUAAGUCGAUGUUGACGCAAUGUGAUUUCUGCCCAGUGCCAUGAAUGUCAAAGUGAUGUGAUUUAACCAAGCGCUGGUAAACGGCGGGAGUAACUAUGACUCUCUUAAGGUAGCCAAAUGCCUCGUCAUCUAAUUAGUGACGCGCAUGAAUGGAUCAACGAGGUUCCUACUGUC
rnacentral:rRNA from 1 species